ACUAAUCCCAAAGGAUCCAAAUUAGUUUGGGUACCUAAAGUUAAAAUUUAAUUUUAUGUGUACAGGUGUGUCUUGUAUCCCAAACAAUAAAAUAGAAGUGGUAUCUUGAUAGUGGGUGCUUAAGACACAUGACCGAUGAUGAAUCUCAAUUUAUCAUAUUGGAAGCUAAAAAUGGAGGGAUGGUUACCUUUGGGGAUAAUGACAAAGAG
rnacentral:lncRNA from 1 species